UGUAGGCUGCAACUCGCCUACAUGAAGUCGGAAUCGCUAGUAAUCGCGGAUCAGAAUGCCGCGGUGAAUACGUUCCCGGGUCUUGUACACACCGCCCGUCACACCAUGGGAGUUGGAAAUGCCCGAAGUCAGUGGCCCAACCGCAAGGAGGGAGCUGCCGAAGGCAGGUUCGAUGACUGGGGUGAAGUCGUAACAAGGUACC
rnacentral:rRNA from 1 species